rnacentral:tRNA from 1 species
GUCUUUGUAGCUUACAAAAAGCAUGACACUGAAGAUGUCAAGACGGCCGUUACACACGCCCAAAGACA